rnacentral:rRNA from 1 species
CAGCCGCCGCGGUAAUACGGAGGGAGCUAGCGUUGUUCGGAAUUACUGGGCGUAAAGCGCGCGUAGGCGGUUACUCAAGUCAGAGGUGAAAGCCCGGGGCUCAACCCCGGAACUGCCUUUGAAACUAGGUGACUAGAAUCUUGGAGAGGUCAGUGGAAUUCCGAGUGUAGAGGUGAAAUUCGUAGAUAUUCGGAAGAACACCAGUGGCGAAGGCGACUGACUGGACAAGUAUUGACGCUGAGGCACGAAAGCGUGGGGAGCAAACAGGAUUAGAUACCCCGGUAGUCCCUGUCUCUUAUAC